rnacentral:rRNA from 1 species
GACGAACGCUGGCGGCGUGCUUAACACAUGCAAGUCGAACAGAAAGGCCCUGCUUUUGUGGGGUGCUCGAGUGGCGAACGGGUGAGUAACACGUGAGUAACCUGCCCUUGACUUUGGGAUAACUUCAGGAAACUGGGGCUAAUACCGGAUAGGAGCUCCUGCUGCAUGGUGGGGGUUGGAAAGUUUCGGCGGUUGGGGAUGGACUUGCGGCUUAUCAGCUUGUUGGUGGGGUAGUGGCUUACCAAGGCUUUGACGGGUAGCCGGCCUGAGAGGGUGACCGGCCACAUUGGGACUGAGAUACGGCCCAGACUCCUACGGGAGGCAGCAGUGGGGAAUAUUGCACAAUGGGCGGAAGCCUGAUGCAGCAACGCCGCGUGCGGGAUGACGGCCUUCGGGUUGUAAACCGCUUUCGCCUGUGACGAAGCGUGAGUGACGGUAAUGGGUAAAGAAGCACCGGCUAACUACGUGCCAGCAGCCGCGGUGAUACGUAGGGUGCGAGCGUUGUCCGGAUUUAUUGGGCGUAAAGGGCUCGUAGGUGGUUGAUCGCGUCGGAAGUGUAAUCUUGGGGCUUAACCCUGAGCGUGCUUUCGAUACGGGUUGACUUGAGGAAGGUAGGGGAGAAUGGAAUUCCUGGUGGAGCGGUGGAAUGCGCAGAUAUCAGGAGGAACACCAGUGGCGAAGGCGGUUCUCUGGGCCUUUCCUGACGCUGAGGAGCGAAAGCGUGGGGAGCGAACAGGCUUAGAUACCCUGGUAGUCCACGCUGUAAACGGUGGGUACUAGGUGUGGGGUCCAUUCCACGGGUUCCGUGCCGUAGCUAACGCUUUAAGUACCCCGCCUGGGGAGUACGGCCGCAAGGCUAAAACUCAAAGGAAUUGACGGGGCCCCGCACAAGCGGCGGAGCAUGCGGAUUAAUUCGAUGCAACGCGUAGAACCUUACCUGGGUUUGACAUGGAUCGGGAGUGCUCAGAGAUGGGUGUGCCUCUUUUGGGGUCGGUUCACAGGUGGUGCAUGGCUGUCGUCAGCUCGUGUCGUGAGAUGUUGGGUUAAGUCCCGCAACGAGCGCAACCCUUGUUCACUGUUGCCAGCACGUUAUGGUGGGGACUCAGUGGAGACCGCCGGGGUCAACUCGGAGGAAGGUGGGGAUGACGUCAAGUCAUCAUGCCCCUUAUGUCCAGGGCUUCACGCAUGCUACAAUGGCUGGUACAGAGAGUGGCGAGCCUGUGAGGGUGAGCGAAUCUCGGAAAGCCGGUCUCAGUUCGGAUUGGGGUCUGCAACUCGACCUCAUGAAGUCGGAGUCGCUAGUAAUCGCAGAUCAGCAACGCUGCGGUGAAUACGUUCCCGGGGCU